rnacentral:rRNA from 1 species
GGUCAAAUUUUUUUAGAAACGGCGCUAUUUAACCAAGGGCAACGUCCUGCUAUUAAUGUAGGAUUAUCAGUUAGUCGGGUAGGUUCUGCAGCACAAGUUAAAUUAAUGAAGCAGAUUGCGGGGAGGUUGCGUUUAGAUAUUGCUCAAUAUAGAGAAGCGGCUGCGUUUUUAGCAUUUGGAGAAGAUGCUUUAGAUGAUACUGUUUUAGAUACUUUAAAUAAAGGGCGUAUGCUUAUGGCCAUUUUAAAGCAACCUAUGUUUAAAUAUUUAACAUUAGUUCAAGAAGUAGUUAUUUUAUAUGCGGCAUUAAAUCAUUAUUUUGAUAGUUUUGGGACGAGAACGGCAGAAAUUGUUUGUUUUAAACAGUUUAUUAUUGCAGUUUUAGGGCAUAAACAAACGGCUGUUUUAAAUGUGGAUUUACUGCAGGAAAUGAUUUAUGAUAAAGGGGAUAACUAUACUUUUAAAAUGUUUAAAAAGGAGGUUCAUUUUUUUUUACAAGCGCUAAAGCGUAUGAUGAAGAAAACACCUCUUAUGCUUUCUUUUAUGUUUUAACUCUAGUCUAUGUAUGCGUUAGCUCUGUUAGUUUAGUUAGUAAAAUACCGAGCCUUCAAUUCGGGGAUAAAGGUGCAAUUCCCUUACAGAGUAUACAAGAAAAGGUUCAGCUAUAUUAUUAAAACCCGAAAUCAAGUGAUCUACUUAUAAAUAAAGUGCGGAAAAAUAUUUUUUCUACAAGCUUGAACCAGUAUCUGUUGUAAAAGAUUUGGAAAAUUUAUGAUUAGGAGUGAUAGGCUUAUCGAACUUGACUACAGCUGGUUUUCGGCGAAAUAUAUAUAAGUAUAGCGUAAAUUUUUGAUAUGUUUUAGUAGAGUUACAAUUUCAAUUUGGUGGUAUUGUUGAUAUUAACUAGUGAAGAUUUAUCUUCGAAAACAGCAUAUAUAACACGAAAUUGUAGAAAUUUGUUUGUCAUAUUUUGUAAGCGCAGAAUUUACGGUCAAACUAUAGGUGAGAAGGUCUAUAGUUUAAAGAGCAACAUCUCAGUUUAUUAAUUAAAGAUAGCAAUAUUUAUUAAGUUUAAAAUAGCUUUUUUCUUAUACCAGCAGUGGGUGUUCUUGAUAGCAGAAAUCCUUUAAUAAAAGCCCAUAAGCUUAUUUCUAUAUGUGGUUUAAAUCUAUUUAAAAUGUAGGCUAGUUAUAAUAUAUCUGAAAUUAUAAAAUUUGUAUUUAAAUUGGUAGUUGAAAGUUGUUUUAUAUUGAUAAUUAAAAUUAUUUUUAAAAGUUAAUAAUAACAAAUUAAUAUGCGGAUAUGAGUAACGUGAUACAAAAUUAAUAAAAUUUUUGUCGCAUAAAAAAACAGGAUUGUAAUAUAAGGGAAUUCCUUAUUUCAAUAAUCGGUUAUUAAUUAUAAAAUUUGUUGUAAAUCUAAGAUAUAGAAAUUAUUUAAUAAAAAUAUGGUGUUCUAUUUAAAGAAAUAGAUAACAUAGCGGUUGUUGAUGUCUCUGCUGUGUGGUUUAUUAUUUUUACAAGUUAAAAGACACUACAUACCGUACUAGAAUCCAACACAGGUUUUUUGGGAGUGUAUCUUAAUGCGUAUAGAGUAAGAAUAUUUAAGGAACUCUGCAAAUUGUUUCUGUAACUUCGGGAUAAAGAAAAUUUUAUUAUAUUUAUUAAGCAUAGAUAUUAUAAAAUGGCACAAAGCGAGGGCGGCGACUGUUUAAUAAAAACACAAAACUCUGCAAAAUAUGAAUAUUAAGUAUAGGGUUUGAGACCUGCCCGGCUCUGUGUUGCUAAAAAAAAAUGUUGUGAAAGCAUUGAUUAUAACCACUGGAAAACGGCGGCUGUAACUCUGACGGUCCUAAGGUAGCGUAAUCCGUUGGCGGGUAAGUUCCGUCUAGUAUGAAAGGUAUAACGCCCGCCCUACUGUCUUGAAUAUUUUUUUAGUGAAAUUGAAUUUUUUGUGAAGAUGCAAAAAGGCAAGCUUAGACGGAAAGACCCCGUACACCUUUACUAUAAUGUUUUAUGAUUUUUUAAAAUGGUUUUUCAGGUAGGAAUGACUAGUGCGUAUUUUUGAAAAACUACUAAAAAUUUAAUUUUAAGAUUUAUUAUUUUAGAAAUACUAAGGUUUGAGAUAUGAAUCAUUGGUAGUUUGACUGGGGCGGUCAUCUUCUAAAAAGUAACGAGGAUGCACAAUAAUGGGUUUAGAAAUUUUGUUAAAUUUUUGUUAUUUUAUUGAAAGGGAUAAGCCUGUUUGAUAUAUGAAAUGACAGUUGCGUGUAGGUUAGUUUACUGUUUGGGUAGCUAAUAGUCUUAUAGACCCGGUAUUUUUGUAUGAUAAAAAUAUCGAUCAACGAAUAAAAGGUACGUUGGGGAUAACAGGUUUAUUAUGCGAAAAAGCUCUUAUUGGACGCAUAGAUUGACACCUCGAUGUCGGUUCGUCGCAUCCUGCUGUUGUAUCUGAUAGCAAGGGUUUCGCUGUUCGCGAAUUAAAAGCGGUACGUGAACUGGGUUUAAAACGUUGUGAAACAGUUUAGUCCCUAUCUGGCUUAAAUUAUAAUAUAAAAGAGUUUGAACCAAGUACGAGAGGAACUAGUAACAUCAAUCACUGCUCUUUUAGUUAUUCUUCAUCAAGAGUAGGCUAAGGUGGGUAUAUUGGCAUAAAUAAAUGUUGAAAGCAUAUAAAGCAUGAAAUUAUACUUUUAUAUUAUUGUAGAAAAGAAUUUUAUUAAUUUUUUUCUUUAUUGUGUUAGUUCUAGUUGUAAAAUUUAUAAACAACAAUUGGGUUUUUUUUAAGU